AGGAACCGAGGCUUAUUAACUAGGAAACUGGGGAGCGGCCCAUCUUUCUUCUAUGUUGGUGAUGACUCAUUCAAAGAGCCAUUGGCCCACAGCAGAAUGGGGAUCAGGGCCUAGGAAGAAGGGAUAUUUCCAAACCUGCUAAGAGUUUCAUUUUCCCUACCUGGGUGCUUCCUCCCCAGGCACAGUCUUAGACCCCUGGUUCUCAACCAGGUAGAUUUUGCCCUCAGGGAGACAUCAGGCAAUGUCUGAAGAUAACUCAACAUCCUACAAUGCCAGGAAGGCCCUCUACAACAAAAAAUCCCUCAGCCCCUUCAUGUCAAUGGUGCCAAGCACGGUGCCCACCCCAAAGGAUAUGUGUGUCUUCUUUGCCCUAGAACAUGCAAAGACAAUCUUAUUGGAAGAAAGUCUUUCCAGGUGUGAGUAAGUGAAGGAUCUUGAGAUGAGAAGAUCGUCGCAGAUUAUCCAGGAACAAGCGUCCUUCUAAGAGGAAGAGGGAGGAAAAUCAGGCAAGGAGAUGGCCAUGUGGAGACAGAGAUGAAGGCUCAGGUGGUGGCAGAUGGAGAGCCACACAUCUACAUCCCAUCUCAUCGGAACUGAUCCAGUGAGAGUCUUGCUGGAGAGGGAAGAGCCUUUUCCCAGACAGCCUUUGGUCUCUCCCCUGGUGGAGAAGGAUGCCAUCUGGAACAAGGCGGUCUCCUCCUUUCGCAGAAGUCGCAGAGCUAAUUACCAACCAUUCCAGUGCACGUUGGCUUAGAACCACGGCGUGACCCCCUCUGUAUUCCAAGCUUCUGCUCUCUCCGUGGCCAAUUUUGACUUAAUGAAUCUAAUCCUGUUUUACACGUAAAUAGUGCUUACAGUUCAAAUACCGUUGCCAAAUGUAGAAGCUCGAAUGCUUUAUGUUCUUUCUCACAACAAAGCUAUAAGAUCAGAAUAGGGCAGGAAUAAACGUACCCAUUCUCAAGAAGAGGAAAGCUGAAUGUCGGGGAGGCUACACGACUUACCCAAGCUCCAGACUUCAAAUUCACUGAGGUCCUCCACACCAUAAUGCCUCCUGAGGAUGGACCCUUAUGAGCUAGACAUCAAUUUAAAAUGAGCUUAUUUGGGCACCUGGGUGGCUCAGUGGG